rnacentral:piRNA from 1 species
UGAGAUUAAAAAUUAGAACUCUAAACU